rnacentral:rRNA from 1 species
AACGAACGCUGGCGGCGUGCCUAACACAUGCAAGUCGCGCGAGAAAAGGGAGCAAUCCCCGAGUAAAGCGGCGAACGGGUGAGUAACACGUAGGUAACCUACCCCGAGACUGGGAGUAACCUACCGAAAGGUAGGGCUAAUACCGGAUAUGACCACGGGAGGCUCGGCUCCUGCGGUGAAAAGGUAGGCCUCUGCUUGCAAGCCACCGCUCGAGGCCGGGCC